UACGGAGGAUGCGAGCGUUAUCCGGAUUUAUUGGGUUUAAAGGGUGCGUAGGCGGCUUAGUAAGUCAGCGGUGAAAUUUUGCAGCUUAACUGUAACAGUGCCGUUGAUACUGCCAGGCUAGGAUUUGGUUGCUGUGGGUGGAAUGUGUGGUGUAGCGGUGAAAUGCUUAGAUAUCACACAGAAUAUCGAUUGCGAAGGCAGCUCACAAGGCCAAGAUUGACGCUGAGGCACGAAAGUGUGGGGAUCAAACAGGA
rnacentral:rRNA from 1 species